AAGAAAGUGACAGAGUGGUUUAAUGUACUUGGCUUGAAACCAAUUUACGGAGGUUCGAUUCCUUCCUUUCUCG
rnacentral:tRNA from 1 species